rnacentral:rRNA from 1 species
AACGGGUGAGUAAUACAUCGGAACGUGCCCAGUCGUGGGGGAUAACGUAGCGAAAGCUACGCUAAUACCGCAUACGACCCGAGGGUGAAAGCGGGGGACUCGCAAGAGCCUCGCGCGAUUGGAGCGGCCGAUGGCAGAUUAGGUAGUUGGUGGGGUAAAGGCCCACCAAGCCUGCGAUCUGUAGCUGGUCUGAGAGGACGACCAGCCACACUGGGACUGAGACACGGCCCAGACUCCUACGGGAGGCAGCAGUGGGGAAUUUUGGACAAUGGGCGAAAGCCUGAUCCAGCCAUACCGCGUGCGGGAAGAAGGCCUUCGGGUUGUAAACCGCUUUUGUCAGGGAAGAAAUACUUCGGGCUAAUACCCUGGGGUGAUGACGGUACCUGAAGAAUAAGCACCGGCUAACUACGUGCCAGCAGCCGCGGUAAUACGUAGGGUGCAAGCGUUAAUCGGAAUUACUGGGCGUAAAGCGUGCGCAGGCGGUUCUAUAAGACAGAUGUGAAAUCCCCGGGCUCAACCUGGGAACUGCAUUUGUGACUGUAGAGCUAGAGUACGGUAGAGGGGGAUGGAAUUCCGCGUGUAGCAGUGAAAUGCGUAGAUAUGCGGAGGAACACCGAUGGCGAAGGCAAUCCCCUGGACCUGUACUGACGCUCAUGCACGAAAGCGUGGGGAGC